rnacentral:rRNA from 1 species
CAGUACUGACGCUGAGAUGCGAAGCGUGGGGAGCAAACAGGAUUAGAUACCUGGUAGUCACGCUGUAAACGAUGUCGAUUUGGAGUUUGUUGCCUAGAGUGAUGGGCUCCGAAGCUAACGCGAUAAAUCGACCGCUGGGGAGUACGGCCGCAAGGUUAAAACUCAAAUGAAUUGACGGGGGCCCGCACAAGCGGUGGAGCAUGUGGUUUAAUUCGAUGCAACGCGAAGAACCUUACCUGGUCUUGACAUCCAUAGAAUUCUGCAGAGAUGUGGGAGUGCCUUCGGGAACUAUGAGACAGGUGCUGCAUGGCUGUCGUCAGCUCGUGUUGUGAAAUGUUGGGUUAAGUCCCGCAACGAGCGCAACCCUUAUUCUUUGUUGCCAGCGAUUUGGUCGGGAACUCAAAGGAGACUGCCGUUGAUAAAGCGGAGGAAGGUGGGGACGACGUCAAGUCAUCAUGGCCCUUACGACCAGGGCUACACACGUGCUACAAUGGCGUAUACAAAGGGAAGCGAAGGUGCGAGCUGGAGCGGAUCUCAUAAAGUACGUCUAAGUUCGGAUUGGAGUCUGCAACUCGACUCCAUGAAGUCGGAAUCGCUAGUAAUCGUAGAUCAGAAUGCUACGGUGAAUACGUUCCCGGGCCUUGUACACACCGCCCGUCACACCAUGGGAGUGGGUUGCACCAGAAGCAGAUAGCUUAACCGCGAGGGGGGCGUUUACCACGGUGUGAUUCAUGACUGGGGUGAAGUCGUAACAAGGUAACCA